CCUACGGGGGGCUGCAGUGAGGAAUAUUGGUCAAUGGACGAGAGUCUGAACCAGCCAAGUAGCGUGAAGGAUGACUGCCCUAUGGGUUGUAAACUUCUUUUAUAUGGGAAUAAAAUGUUCCACGUGUGGGAGGUUGUAUGUACCAUAUGAAUAAGGAUCGGCUAACUCCGUGCCAGCAGCCGCGGUAAUACGGAGGAUCCGAGCGUUAUCCGGAUUUAUUGGGUUUAAAGGGAGCGUAGAUGGGUUGUUAAGUCAGUUGUGAAAGUUUGCGGCUCAACCGUAAAAUUGCAAUUGAUACUGGCAGUCUUGAGUACAGUUGAGGUAGGCGGAAUGCGUGGUGUAGCGGUGAAAUGCUUAGAUAUCACGAAGAACUCCGAUUGCGAAGGCAGCUUACCAAACUGCCACUGACAUUGAUGCUCGAAAGUGUGGGUAUCAAACAGGAUUAGAUACCCGGGUAGUC
rnacentral:rRNA from 1 species